rnacentral:rRNA from 1 species
UACAGAGGUCCCAAGCGUUGUUCGGAUUCAUUGGGCGUAAAGGGCGCGUAGGCGGCCAUCUAAGUCAGACGUGAAAUCCCCCGGCUUAACCUGGGAACUGCGUCUGAUACUGGACGGCUUGAGUAUGGGAGAGGGAUGUAGAAUUCCAGGUGUAGCGGUGAAAUGCGUAGAUAUCUGGAGGAAUACCGGUGGCGAAGGCGGCAUCCUGGACCAUUACUGACGCUGAGGCGCGAAAGCUAGGGGAGCAAACGGG